rnacentral:rRNA from 1 species
AUUGAACGCUGGCGGCAGGCUUAACACAUGCAAGUCGAGCGGGGUGAUGGUGCUUGCACUAUCACUUAGCGGCGGACGGGUGAGUAAUGCUUAGGAAUCUGCCUAUUAGUGGGGGACAACAUCUCGAAAGGGAUGCUAAUACCGCAUACGUCCUACGGGAGAAAGCAGGGGAUCACUUGUGACCUUGCGCUAAUAGAUGAGCCUAAGUCGAAUUAACUAGUUGGUGGGGUAAAGGCCUACCAAGGCGACGAUCUGUAGCGGGUCUGAGAGGAUGAUCCGCCACACUGGGACUGAGACACGGCCCAGACUCCUACGGGAGGCAGCAGUGGGGAAUAUUGGACAAUGGGGGGAACCCUGAUCCAGCCAUGCCGCGUGUGUGAAGAAGGCCUUAUGGUUGUAAAGCACUUUAAGCGAGGAGGAGGCUCUUUUGGUUAAUACCCAAGAUGAGUGGACGUUACUCGCAGAAUAAGCACCGGCUAACUCUGUGCCAGCAGCCGCCGUAA